UAGAAGACUUUCAGGGAUCAUUUCUAUAGUUUGUUCCUAGAGAAGGUUCUCUGAAUGUGUAGAGCACUGGAAGCCACGAGGAGGAGGUGCAGCAUCCUCUCCUGAGUGUGAAGCUGUCUCUUGGUGUUGCUUUGUCACAACUGCCAUUUGCCAUUGAUGAUUGUUCUUCUCCCUUGGGGAGAGUAAGCGGAAGAGGAUGCAGUCUGAAUGGA
rnacentral:snoRNA from 1 species